CACGUAGGGUGCGAGCGUUGUCCGGAAUUAUUGGGCGUAAAGAGCUCGUAGGCGGCUUGUCGCGUCAACUGUGAAAACCCGUGGCUCAACCAUGUGGUCUGCAGUCGAUACGGGCAGGCUAGAAUUCGGUAGGGGAGACUGGAAUUCCUGGUGUAGCGGUGAAAUGCGCAGAUAUCAGGAGGAACACCGGUGGCGAAGGCGGGUCUCUGGGCCGAUAUUGACGCUGAGGAGCGAAAGCGUGGGGAGCGAACAGG
rnacentral:rRNA from 1 species